rnacentral:lncRNA from 1 species
AAGGAGAAGAGAGAAAGAAAGGGACAGGAAAAAAUAUUUGAAGAGAUAACAGACAAAAACUUCCCUAACAUGGGAAAAGAACCACUCACUCAAAUCCAGGAAGCACAAUGAGAACCAUAUAAAAUGAACCCAAGGAGGAACACCCCGAGACACAUAUUACUCAAACUGACCAAAAUUAAAGACAAAGAGAAAAUAUUGGAAGCAGCCAGGGAAAAAAAAAACAAAUAACAUACAAGGGAAGCCCAAUAAGGUUAUCAGCAGAUUUUUCAGCAGAAACUCUGCAGGCCAGAAGGGAGUGGCAUGAUAUACUUAACAUGAUGAAAGGGAAAAACCUCCAACCAAGAUUACUCUACCCAGCAAGGCUCUCAUUCAGAUUUGAAGGAGAAAUCAAAACCUUCACAGAUAAGCAAAAGCUGAGAGAAUUCAGCAAUGCUAAACCAGCCUUACAACAAAUACUAAAGGAACUUCUCUAGGCAGAAAAGAAAAGACAGCAACAGAAAGCAAAAACUCCACAAAUGACAAGGCUCACCAGUAAGGUAUAUAUACAGGAAAGAUACGAAAUCAUCCAUGCACAAUUAUACCACCAAAAUCCGAAAUCAUGAGAAGAGGUGGGUACAAGUGCAGGACACUGGAGAUGAACUUGCAAUUAAGAGACCAACAACUUAAAACAAUCUCAUAUACAUAUAGACUCUUAUAUCAAAACUUCAGAAUAACUGCAAACCAAAAAUCUACAAUUGAUACACAAACAAGGAAUCUCUGGAGAAGAAAUAUAUCUCAUAGUAAAUAAGUGCAUAAUCCACCAUGAAGGGGGUCAUUUGACAUCAUUCUUGGAAUGCUGAAGUCUUCUUAGAUCUGAUUCUGAUUUCCUCUCCAUCAAAGAAUUUAUGAUAAUUAUAAUUAAAUAAUGCAACUGUACAAUUAAAUAAUACAGUUCUACAAUUGUAUUAUUAAUAACCAUUUCUCUCCAUGGUACAAUGUAAAGUCUAUAAUGUCUUGUUUAUCACAUCACCUAGAAUGGUGUAAUGCCUAUAUUGAAGAAUCAAUAAGAUGUAACAAAUUGUGAGGACAUAUUUAUAUAGUUACACUGUUUUUUAACCAAUUUAUGCAUUUUAUAUUUUACUUAUUUUCAGAGGGUGUAUUAUUUUUGUUAUUCUUACCAGUUAAGUUAUUCUUUUUAUUAUGCUAUAUAAAAUAUUUAAUGGUAUAUAAGGCUUUCUUCUUUAUAAAUUUUAGUUGCAUAAUAUACACAAUUUUAAUAUAAUGCUAAUUUUUAAAGAAAAAUUGAAAUGUAAUAGAUAAUACUAAAUAGUAAAGAUGAAAGCCAUACAAAAUGGGAUAAAGUAUAGAAUAAAUUUCCUAUUUGUCUCAGCAUAUUUUCCAUUCCACUUCUCCAGAGGGAGUCACUUAAUCUGUUUCUUAAGAUCCAUGAUAUAAUAAUCUGUGUGAAUGUAAUUGUGUUUAAAUAUAUGUAUUUUAUU